AUUCUGUUAGUGUAGGGGUUAGCACGUGGGAUUUUGAUUCCCGAGUCCCCGGUUCGAAUCCGGGACGGAAUG
rnacentral:tRNA from 1 species